rnacentral:rRNA from 1 species
GACGAACGCUGGCGGCGUGCUUAACACAUGCAAGUCGAACGAUGAACCCGGAGCUUGCUCCGGCGGAUUAGUGGCGAACGGGUGAGUAACACGUGAGUAACCUGCCCUUGACUCUGGGAUAACUGCUAGAAAUGGUAGCUAAUACCGGAUACGACCCUCGGUGGCAUCACCAGGGGGUGGAAAGAAUUUCGGUCAAGGAUGGACUCGCGGCCUAUCAGCUAGUUGGUGAGGUAACGGCUCACCAAGGCGACGACGGGUAGCCGGCCUGAGAGGGGGACCGGCCACACUGGGACUGAGACACGGCCCAGACUCCUACGGGAGGCAGCAGUGGGGAAUAUUGCACAAUGGGCGCAAGCCUGAUGCAGCGACGCCGCGUGAGGGAUGACGGCCUUCGGGCUGUAAACCUCUUUCAGCACCGACGAAGCGCAAGUGACGGUAGGUGCAGAAGAAGGACCGGCCAACUACGUGCCAGCAGCCGCGGUAA